UGUGGAUGGAGCUCGUAGACGGAGUUUGCUUCCUCGUUCAACAUGCUCACUCUCUUCAAGCAGUCGAUUUCAUGGGGAUCAACCAGCAUGUCGUUAUCUCCAUCCUUCCACCCUAUCAGCUUCACACCAUCACAUUCAUCCCACCUUUGGGAGGAGCGGCGUGAUUUUCAGGAGAGAAGCACGUUCAAGGUGGGCCCAACUGAUGAAUGAACCAGAUGUUGCACGUGUGCUGCUAAUCGAAUUGGAGAGAGGAGCUAACCUUAGGUGGGCUUCCCAUGGCAUUGGUGCUGAACAAUCUGGCCUUGUCAACGAGCUGGCAAUAACGAGGAAAGGCAUUUGCAAAUCUCUUGUGAGAUGUUAGCUGCGACUUCACCCUCACCGCUCUUCUAUUCAGUAUAGCUCUCCUGCAUCCCCAAAACAACUUCACAUGAUUCUCAGAUUGCAUGUUAUUAUUAUUAUGCUUGGCCCUUAGUUCCUGAAAGUGGGCCACAUUUUUUGCUCAUCCAGAUCUUGAUCUUCCAAAAAGCCCAAGAUGGGACAAUCUUGACCAUUCAUCUCAUGCCCUGCAAAUUAUUCAGCCAAGGAAAAACUCACAAAAGGCUGAAAGUUGGAUGAGCUCAUUUGGGCAUAUUGUCCAUCCAUGAUGGAGCCCACUAUAUCAAUGGUCUGGAUCAGCGAAUGAUGAGCUGAAUUGUAGGAACUAAGGCCAGAUCUUCUAAUUCAUCUAUGACGGUACCUCAUUCCUCUAACAACUGCAAGAUAAGCAUCACAAACCACUCCAACAAGCUCUAUCCUAUAAGGUCUCCUCUUUGUAGCUUGUUCUUCUACCUCUUCCCAAUAGUUUUCAGUAAUCGUUCCAUCUUCGGAGGUUUUGUAUCCAACCCCCAUGCGGUAACGAUGACGAUGGACGUUCCUUGCCAUUGCGAUGGUUUGCUCUACGAAGGGCUCCCAUGAGAGUGUGCCAUCCAUGAUCACAUCCCGCCCUUCAUUGAGCGCGGUCACUAGGAGCGAAGAUGCUGCAUCCAUUGACGACUGGUGCACCUGUUUGAUUUUAUUAAGAAAAUGGUGAUGCAUGAGUUUGGAUGCACAAUUGAAUCGAAUUGCAAAUGCUGGGGUAGUAGAUCAAGUGCAAAUAACAAAAUGGUAACAAUCUUUCCUAGCAUUGAUAAUGAGGAAGUGGACUGCAUAUUGCAAUUCGUUUCGGGCCAAACUAACACAAUUGCAGUUUGGAGAUAGUUCCUUCAUGUGAAUCCUGAGGAAAAUUCAGAAACUUAUACUAGAUAUCAUGCCAGGUCGAGAUAACUCAAAGACUUGAACCAGUCUUUACUUGACUUGACUCGACUCGAUGUUUUAAUAAUCGAGUUUAAAGGUA